AUUGAUUCUCAGCCUUUUGGCUAAGAUCCAGUGCAGUAUCUGUUCUUAUCAAUUUAAUAUCUGAUACGUCCUCUAUCGAAGGACAAUAUAUUAAAUGGGUUUUUGGAGCAGGGGGACGGAAUGAGAGUUUACUCCAUCCACUCCACACAUUGACCUGGCAUUGUAGGACCUCCAGGAAUGGUGCUCCCCUU
ensembl:snRNA U2 U2 spliceosomal RNA